rnacentral:rRNA from 1 species
GACGUAGGGGGCAAGCGUUAUUCGGAAUUAUUGGGCGUAAAGCGCUCGUAGGCGGGACUGGAAGUCCGUGUUGAAAGACCUCGGCUCAACUGAGGGACCGGCUCGGAUACUCUAGUUCUUGAGGCAAUCAGAGGGUGAUGGAAUUCCCGGUGCAGCGGUGAAAUGCGUAGAUAUCGGGAGGAACACCAGUGGCGAAGGCGAUCACCUGGGGUUGUUCUGACGCUGAGGAGCGAAAGCUAGGGGGAGCAAACGGG